rnacentral:lncRNA from 1 species
GUGUCCAAAAAUGCUGAAGGGAUCGCUCUUCUUUCCUACUCAAAGACCCAAAAAGGGGUACCCUCCGCUUUCGCUGCCGAAGCACUUGCAUGCUGUAAAGUAGUUCAAAUAGGUAUUGAAAUGCAGUGGCUGGAGAUCAUUAUUGAAAAGGACUCAUUAGCCAUCAUCAAAAAGUGUCAAUCAAAAAGUCAAGAUAGAUCACAAGUAGGAGUGUACAUUCACGAUAUUCAUAAGAUAAUAGACAAAUUCAACAAUAUUGUGUUCAAACAUACUCCGAGAUCAGAAAAUGGUUUAGCCCAUAUACUAGCAACAGAAUCUCUGAAGAAGACGGAGGAGUUUUACCUGUUAAAGAAUGUCUCUGGGUAUGCCGAGAAGCAAAAGAUUGCUAACUGGAUGCGAGAACCAUAUUGAAAUUGGCCGGGGGAGGGGAAAGGUGAAAGGAAAGUAUCACAUAGAAGCUAAAAAGUUUUUUUGAAGAAC